rnacentral:rRNA from 1 species
UAGUCAUAUGCUUGUCUCAAAGAUUAAGCCAUGCAUGUCUCAGUACUUGCUUUUACAAGGCGAAACCGCGAAUGGCUCAUUAAAUCAGUUAUGGUUCACUAGAUCGUAAAUUUUACACGGAUAACUGUGGCAAUUCUAGAGCUAAUACGUGAUUCAAGCUCGCUUCCUUGUGGAGCGAGCGCAGUUAUUAGAUCAAAACCGAUCCGGCCUUCUGGUCGGUAAAAUUGGCGACUCUGAAUAACCGAAGCGGAGCGCAUGGUCUCGUACCGGCGCCAGAUCUUUCAAGUGUCUGACUUAUCAGCUUGUUGUUAGGUUAUGUUCCUAACAAGGCUUCAACGGGUAACGGGGUAUCAGGGUCCGAUACCGGAGAGGGAGCCUGAGAAACGGCUACCACAUCCAAGGAAGGCAGCAGGCGCGCAAAUUACCCACUCCUAGCACAGGGAGGUAGUGACGAAAAAUAACGAUGCGAGGGCUAAUAGCUUCUAGUAAUCGGAAUGGGCACACUUUAAAUCCUUUAACGAGGAUCUAUUGGGGGGCAAGUCUGGUGCCAGCAGCC